UGUGUCCACUGUGUAUACGCGAGAAAUAUAUGAAUAGAGGAGGUUGGUCCAGAAGAAAUAAAAAGAAGUGAAAGAAGACAAUGCACAAAUAGCGUAUUUCUUGGCAAGGGAACUGUGAUUUAUUCGUAGGUAAGAACAUCCACGAAGACGGCACGGCAUCUCUACGUUCCCAUCGGCGAGCGUCAAAUUCGGGGGGUCGUGAUUGUCGUGAGAAUGAUCCAGAAGCAGUGCGUGUCAAGUUAUGCGUCGAAUG